ensembl:miRNA
CUCUGGGACGCUCAGACGCCGCGCGGGGCGGGGAUUGGUCCGCGCAGUUCUCUCGGCUCCUCUCGGCCCGCGGCGGCCGGCGGUU